GAUGAACGCUGGCGGCGUGCCUAAUACAUGCAAGUCGAGCGAACAGACGAGGAGCUUGCUCCUCUGACGUUAGCGGCGGACGGGUGAGUAACACGUGGAUAACCUACCUAUAAGACUGGGAUAACUUCGGGAAACCGGAGCUAAUACCGGAUAAUAUAUUGAACCGCAUGGUUCAAUAGUGAAAGACGGUUUUGCUGUCACUUAUCGAUGGAUCCGCGCCGCAUUAGCUAGUUGGUAAGAUAACGGCUUACCAAGGCAACGAUGCGUAGCCGACCUGAGAGGGUGAUCGGCCACACUGGAACUGAGACACGGUCCAGACUCCUACGGGAGGCAGCAGUAGGGAAUCUUCCGCAAUGGGCGAAAGCCUGACGGAGCAACGCCGCGUGAGUGAUGAAGGUCUUCGGAUCGUAAAACUCUGUUAUUAGGGAAGAACAAAUGUGUAAGUAACUAUGCACGUCUUGACGGUACCUAAUCAGAAAGCCACGGCUAACUACGUG
rnacentral:rRNA from 1 species